rnacentral:lncRNA from 1 species
UUAUUCCAUAUUGGUAUUAUUUUAGUAGGUUUCUCUAUAUGAAUUGGAUUUUGAAUAAAAAAAGCAUAUUCACCUGAGAAAGUGUUAUUCACCGCGCUAAACGUCACGCGCUUUUACAUGCAACGUUAUGGUAAAAUGUUUCAUGUAAAAAAAAAAAUGGUAUAUGUUUGUCAUUAGAUACAUUUUCUGCUCUCGGACUAUGGAAUAAAACAAUUAC